CACGUGAAAUUCCGUCGGAAUCUGGGAGGACCAUCUCCUAAGGCUAAAUACUCUCUAGUGACCGAUAGUGAACCAGUACCGUGAGGGAAAGGUGAAAAGCACCCCGGAAGGGGAGUGAAAUAGAACCUGAAACCGUGUGCUUACAAGUAGUCAGAGCCCGUUAAUGGGUGAUGGCGUGCCUUUUGUAGAAUGAACCGGCGAGUUACGAUUUGAUGCAAGGUUAAGCAGUAAAUGUGGAGCCGUAGCGAAAGCGAGUCUGAAUAGGGCGUUUAGUAUUUGGUCGUAGACCCGAAACCAGGUGAUCUACCCUUGGUCAGGUUGAAGUUCAGGUAACACUGAAUGGAGGACCGAACCGACUUACGUUGAAAAGUGAGCGGAUGAACUGAGGGUAGCGGAGAAAUUCCAAUCGAACCUGGAGAUAGCUGGUUCUCUCCGAAAUAGCUUUAGGGCUAGCCUCAAGUGAUGAUUAUUGGAGGUAGAGCACUGUUUGGACGAGGGGCCCCUCUCGGGUUACCGAAUUCAGACAAACUCCGAAUGCCAAUUAAUUUAACUUGGGAGUCAGAACAUGGGUGAUAAGGUCCGUGUUCGAAAGGGAAACAGCCCAGACCACCAGCUAAGGUCCCAAAAUAUAUGUUAAGUGGAAAAGGAUGUGGCGUUGCCCAGACAACUAGGAUGUUGGC
rnacentral:rRNA from 1 species